GCGGGGAUAAUUCAAUUGGUAGAAUGUCAGCCUUCCAAGUUGAUUGUUACGGGUUCGAUUCCCGUUCUCCGCU
rnacentral:tRNA from 1 species